rnacentral:rRNA from 1 species
AUUGAACGCUGGCGGCAUGCCUUACACAUGCAAGUCGAACGGUAACGGGCCUUCGGGUGCCGACGAGUGGCGAACGGGUGAGUAAUACAUCGGAACGUGCCCGAUCGUGGGGGAUAACGAGGCGAAAGCUUUGCUAAUACCGCAUACGAUCUACGGAUGAAAGCAGGGGGCCGCAAGGCCUUGCGCGGACGGAGCGGCCGAUGGCAGAUUAGGUAGUUGGUGGGAUAAAAGCUUACCAAGCCGACGAUCUGUAGCUGGUCUGAGAGGAGGAUCAGCCACACUGGGACUGAGACACGGCCCAGACUCCUACGGGAGGCAGCAGUGGGGAAUUUUGGACAAUGGGCGCAAGCCUGAUCCAGCCAUGCCGCGUGCAGGAUGAAGGCCUUCGGGUUGUAAACUGCUUUUGUACGGAACGAAAAGCCUUCUUUUAAUACAGGAGGGUCAUGACGGUACCGUAAGAAUAAGCACCGGCUAACUACGUG